rnacentral:rRNA from 1 species
GACGAACCGUCCUAACGUUGUUCGGAAUCACUGGGCUUAAAGGGCGCGUAGGCGGGUCAGCAAGUCCGGGGUGAAAUCUUUCGGCUCAACCGGAAAAUAGCCUUGGAUACUGCUGGUCUCGAGGGAGGUAGGGGCCUGUGGAACUUCCGGUGGAGCGGUGAAAUGCGUUGAUAUCGGAAGGAACGCCGGUGGCGAAAGCGACGGGCUGGACCUCUUCUGACUGCUGAGGCGCGAAAGCUAGGGGAGCAAACGGG